rnacentral:rRNA from 1 species
UUAAAUUGAAGAGUUUGAUCAUGGCUCAGAUUGAACGCUGGCGGCAGGCCUAACACAUGCAAGUCGAACGGUAACAGGAAGCAGCUUGCUGCUUCGCUGACGAGUGGCGGACGGGUGAGUAAUGUCUGGGAAACUGCCUGAUGGAGGGGGAUAACUACUGGAAACGGUGGCUAAUACCGCAUAACGUCGCAAGACCAAAGAGGGGGACCUUCGGGCCUCUUGCCAUCAGAUGUGCCCAGAUGGGAUUAGCUUGUUGGUGAGGUAACGGCUCACCAAGGCGACGAUCCCUAGCUGGUCUGAGAGGAUGACCAGCCACACUGGAACUGAGACACGGUCCAGACUCCGUACGGGAGGCAGCAGUGGGGAAUAUUGCACAAUGGGCGCAAGCCUGAUGCAGCCAUGCCGCGUGUAUGAAGAA